GGCCUGAUGGUCUAGGGUAUGAUUCUCGUUAGGUGCGAGAGGUCCCGGGUUCAAAUCCCGGUCAGGCCC
rnacentral:tRNA from 1 species